GGGCACUUGGUCUAGGGGUAUGAUUUUCGCUUCGCAUCAAUUACUACGAUGAGUAUGUGAAAGGUCGUGGGUUCAAUUCCCACAGUGUCCA
rnacentral:tRNA from 1 species